GGGGGCGUAGUAUAAGCCGGUAGUACAGUUGGCUCCAGACCUUCUAAUCCAGGUUCAAAUCCUGGCGUCCCCA
rnacentral:tRNA from 1 species